CCUACAUCACCGUUUCAUACGUUUCAAACAAAUCCCGACUGGGACACAUAUGGAACGCACAAGCUGUAUCCAAAAUCUAUUCCUUGUCAAAUUUGGAUUCUAUGUCAGAAAUCAUCAAAACAUCUCUAUCACUCAAAUAAUUCUUGGCUAUGUUGGAUUCGUCUGAAGUAUUUGAUUACUUUCCAGAAUUUGCAGUUAAAUUACCUUUGUUCUACAAUUUGUUGCAAUAUCUUUUAAUGUGUCCUUUAUUCUUCCAAAAAUAACAAACCCGAUUACUGAAAUCUGACAUUAAGUUAUCCCUUCUCCGAUCGCCAUGAACAACAAGGCUUCUCCAUCUCUAACCUAAGAUAUAACCAGAUACUGCAUCUUCUCUUUUGAAAACAAGGCCUCAUACGCAUCUUUAAUGGUGAGAGUAUCACGACUAUAGUGUCUCUAAAUGAAGUAAAUGAAAUGGGUAGCAAACAUAACAGGAUUAAAGCCAAAUCUUCUUCAUCAUACUUUAACUCUAACGUCUUCAAAUUAGCAACAAUCUCUUUAAACACAACUAGAUGAUCUUCCAAUGAUCCACCUCUUUCAUGUGAUGAGAAUACAAUCUCUGCUUCAGACGCAGUUUGCUUGUCAUACUUUUAUUCAUGCACAAUUGCUCUACCUUCAACCAUUAAGUACCUGUCAUUUUCUCCUUUAAAAUGUCGUAAAGAUUAUUGUUAGAGUGAUGAAGAUAGAUCUAUAAAAGUGCAUUCCAUCCUUUUGUUGUUUCUCUUCCGUCAUCCAAUUUGUGAACAUUUUGUCAAAUCCCAACAACUCAUCAUCCAAAUCCAUCUGUGCGAGUACAGCUCGUAUCUUCACUUGCCAUAACGAGAAUAUUGUAUUGCGACCCAAGAACGAAAUUUCAUACCUUAUGGUUGCAUCAAUAAUAAAAAUCUCGAACAAAUUACAAUCAAUAUCUCUGAUACCAUUUGUUGAAAAAUAAAACGGAUGGAGG
rnacentral:lncRNA from 1 species